UACAGAGGGGGCAAGCGUUGUUCGGAAUUACUGGGCGUAAAGGGCGCGUAGGCGGCCCGCUAAGUCGAACGUGAAAUCCCCGGGCUUAACCCGGGAACUGCGUCCGAUACUGGCAGGCUUGAAUCCGGGAGAGGGAUGUGGAAUUCCAGGUGUAGCGGUGAGAUGCGUAGAUAUCUGGAGGAACACCGGUGGCGAAGGCGGCAUCCUGGACCGGUAUUGACGCUGAGGCGCGAAAGCUAGGGGAGCAAACGGG
rnacentral:rRNA from 1 species